rnacentral:rRNA from 1 species
GACGAACGCUGGCGGCGUGCCUAAUACAUGCAAGUCGAACGCAGUGGGGACGGGUGAGUAACACGUGGGUAACCUCGCAUCAGAGGGGAUAACACGUGGCAACAGGUGCUAAACCGAUACUGAUGGCUCGAGCCGCGGUGCAUGAGCUAGUUGGUGAGGUAACGCCUGACCAAGGAAACGAUGCAUAGCCGACCUGCGAGGCCGAUCGGACACAGUGGGACUGAGACACGGCCAAGACUCAGACGGGAGGCAGCAGGAGGGAAUCCUCGGCAAGGGACGAAAGUCGGAUCGAGCCACGCCGCGUGAAUGAAGAAGGUUGUCGGAUCGUAAAACUCUGUUGUUAGAGAAGCGGUAUCUAACCAGCAAGCCACGGCUAACUACGUGCCAGCAGCCGCGGUAAUUC